rnacentral:misc_RNA from 1 species
AAUAUUUGAGCAUGCCACGACCUUCCACGCUAAUUUUUGUUGCUUGCAGUUGCUUCUUUUUUGGUGCUUUCAGCUGUUGCAACUUUCUAUUCAUCUUUAGUCGGCGCUGAUCUUGUACAACUUGCUUAGCACGGUUUCUAAUCUCUUCAGGAUCAAUCUUAGACUGAGGGCGCACCACAAAAUCCAAUGGAGUUGCUUCUGGCCUAGAAGCAUGUUGUCUGU